rnacentral:rRNA from 1 species
AUGGAAGGGCCAUCGCUCAACGGAUAAAAGGUACGCCGGGGAUAACAGGCUGAUACUGCCCAAGAGUCCAUAUCGACGGCAUUGUUUGGCACCUCGAUGUCGGCUCAUCGCAUCCUGGGGCUGGAGCAGGUCCCAAGGGUACGGCUGUUCGCCGUUUAAAGAGGUACGUGAGCUGGGUUUAGAACGUCGUGAGACAGUUCGGUCCCUAUCUGCCGUGGGUGUAGGAUACUUGAGAGGAGUUGCCCCUAGUACGAGAGGACCGGGGUGAACGAUCCACUGGUGGACCUGUUGUGGCGCCAGCCGCAGUGCAGGGUAGCUAUGAUCGGAAAGGAUAACCGCUGAAGGCAUCUAAGCGGGAAGCCCCCCUCAAAACAAGGUAUCCCUGAGGGCCGUGGUAGACCACCACGUCGAUAGGCCGGAGGUGUAAGCGCAGCAAUGCGUUCAGCUGACCGGUACUAAUGGCCC